GGGCGCGUGGGAAGCAAAUGACUUUUAAUCACGGGGUCCUGGGUUCGAGCCCCAGCGCGCUCACCA
rnacentral:tRNA from 1 species